CCUACGGGAGGCAGCAGUGGGGGAUAUUGCACAAUGGGGGGAACCCUGAUGCAGCGACGCCGCGUGGGUGAAGGAGUGCUUCGGCAUGUAAAGCCCUAUCGGCAGGGAAGAAGCAAGACGGUACCUGACUAAGAAGCCCCGGCUAACUACGUGCCAGCAGCCGCGGUAAUACGUAGGGGGCGAGCGUUAUCCGGAUUCACUGGGUGUAAAGGGAGCGUAGACGGCCAUGCAAGCCAGGGGUGAAAGCCCGGGGCCCAACCCCGGGACUGCCCUGGGAACUGUGCGGCUAGAGUGCGGGAGGGGCAGGCGGAAUGCCUGGUGUAGCGGUGAAAUGCGUAGAUAUCAGGAGGAACACCGGCGGCGAAGGCGGCCUGCUGGACUGCGACUGACGUUGAGGCUCGAAAGCGUGGGGAGCGAACAGGAUUAGAUACCCCUGUAGUC
rnacentral:rRNA from 1 species